AAGGAACCUUCUCCACACUCCUGGAUCUAAAUCCAUGGGAAUCUAUUGGAAUGAUGGAGGUGGAUCUUGGAUCCUGGCUGGAAUCCUGGGAUCUGAGGACCCAAAUCCAGGGAUAACCGAGGUGGAUCUUGGAUCCAGACUGGAAUCCUGGAAUUCCCAGAGCGGGAAUCCAGCCAAGCUUUGAGGGAACCUUCUCCAGAGUCAUGGAGGUGAAUCCAUGGGAAUGACCAAGGUGGAUCUUGGAUCCCAGCUGGAAUCCUGGAAUUCCCAGAGCGGGAAUCCAGCCAAGCUUUGCGGGAACCUUCUCCAGAGUCAUGGAGGUGAAUCCAUGGGAAUGACCAAGGUGG